UGAUAGUUUUGUUAUCCGGUG
ensembl:piRNA 21ur-3255 ncRNA